ACUCCUGCGGGAGGCAGCAGUGGGGAAUUUUACGCAAUGGGGGAAACCCUGACGUAGCGACACCGCGUGAGCGAAGAAGCCCUUUGGGGUGUAAAGCUCUGUCAGCUGGAACGAAAACAAUGACGGUACCAGCAGAGGAAGCAUCGGCUAACUACGUGCCAGCAGCCGCGGUAAGACGUAGGAUGCGAGCGUUGUCCGGAUUUAUUGGGCGUAAAGAGUUCGUAGGUGGUUUGUUAAGUUUGGUGUUAAAGAUCGGGGCUCAACCCUGGGACUGCACUGAAUACUGGCAGACUCGAGUGUGGUAGAGGCUAGUGGAAUUCCCAGUGUAGCGGUGAAAUGCGUAGAUAUUGGGAAGAACACCGGUGGCGUAGGCGACUAGCUGGGCCAUAACUGACGCUGAGGAACGAAAGCCAGGGGAGCGAAUGGGAUUAGAUACCCUUGUAGUCCCA
rnacentral:rRNA from 1 species